GCAAGUCGAACGGUAACAUUUCUAGCUUGCUAGAAGAUGACGAGUGGCGGACGGGUGAGUAAUACUUAGGAAUAUGCCUUAGUGUGGGGGAUAACCAUUGGAAACGAUGGCUAAUACCGCAUAAUACCUACGGGUCAAAGGGGGCUUUUAGCUCUCGCACAAAGAGUAGCCUAAGCGAGAUUAGCUAGUUGGUGGGGUAAAGGCUCACCAAGGCGACGAUCUCUAGCUGUUCUGAGAGGAAGAUC
rnacentral:rRNA from 1 species